GCUCUAUUAGCUCAGUUGGUUAGAGCGUGGUGCUAAUAACGCCAAGGUCACAGGUUCGAUCCCUGUAUGGAGCA
rfam:Rhizoclosmatium globosum strain JEL800 BCR33scaffold_14, whole genome shotgun sequence.